GUAGGGUGCAAGCGUUGUCCGGAAUUAUUGGGCGUAAAGAGCUCGUAGGCGGUUUGUCGCGUCUGCUGUGAAAACCCGAGGCUCAACCUCGGGCCUGCAGUGGGUACGGGCAGACUAGAGUGCGGUAGGGGAGAUUGGAAUUCCUGGUGUAGCGGUGGAAUGCGCAGAUAUCAGGAGGAACACCGAUGGCGAAGGCAGAUCUCUGGGCCGUAACUGACGCUGAGGAGCGAAAGCAUGGGGAGCGAACAGGAUUAGAUACCCUGGUAGUCCAUGCCGUAAACGUUGGGAACUAGAUGUAGGGGCCAUUCCACGGUUUCUGUGUCGCAGCUAACGCAUUAAGUUCCCCGCCUGGGGAGUACGGCC
rnacentral:rRNA from 1 species